rnacentral:rRNA from 1 species
UACGUAGGUGGCAAGCGUUGUCCGGAUUUACUGGGCGUAAAGCGUGCGCAGGCGGUUCUCCAAGUCCGUUGUGAAAGCCCCGGGCUCAACCUGGGAAUGGCAGUGGAAACUAGGGGACUGGAAUCUGGCAGAGGGGGGUGGAAUGCCGCGUGUAGCAGUGAAAUGCGUAGAGAUGCGGCGGAACACCGAUGGCGAAGGCAGCCCCCUGGGCUGAGAUUGACGCUCAGGCACGAAAGCGUGGGGAGCGAACAGG